UACGGGGGGAGCAAGCGUUGUUCGGAUUUACUGGGCGUAAAGGGCGCGUAGGCGGCUUUGUAAGUCGGUUGUGAAAUCCCCGGGCUUAACCUGGGAACUGCAUCCGAGACUGCAUGGCUAGAGUAUGGGAGAGGGAAGUGGAAUUUCAGGUGUAGCGGUGAAAUGCGUAGAUAUCUGAAGGAACAUCAGUGGCGAAAGCGACUUCCUGGACCAAUACUGACGCUCAUGUGCGAAAGCGUGGGGAGCAAACAGG
rnacentral:rRNA from 1 species